rnacentral:rRNA from 1 species
GACGUAGGGCGCGAGCGUUGUCCGGAUUUAUUGGGCGUAAAGAGCUCGUAGGUGGUUCGGUAAGUCGGAUGUGAAAUCUCCAGGCUCAACCUGGAGGGGUCAUUCGAUACUGCCGUGACUCGAGGUCGGUAGGGGAGUGUGGAAUUCCUGGUGGAGCGGUGAAAUGCGCAGAUAUCAGGAGGAACACCCGUAGCGAAGGCGGCACUCUGGGCCGAUACUGACACUGAGGAGCGAAAGCGUGGGGAGCGAACAGG